AGGCCAUCUCCAUUUGCCCCAAGUUGGCAAUAGAAUUAGGGGGCAACAAAGAAUACCACUGAGAUGCUAAGCCCACUAAGGAGUUCCCAAACAAUCUCAACUUGUAGUUGGGAUUGGCUUCAAAUGCCACACAGUGAUUAGAGAAUUUGAAAAUGUGAUCCCUGAAAGACACAUUGCCAUCUUUUCCACUCAAUGUUGGGAAUGCGGGCAUCUUGAAGUUGACUGGAAAAUGGUUCUGCUCGUCAACGUACUCAUGAUAGGGCUUCUAAUAAGUGAUCUUAAA
rnacentral:lncRNA from 1 species